rnacentral:rRNA from 1 species
AUUGAACGCUGGCGGCAGGCCUAACACAUGCAAGUCGAGCGGAGCGGCGGACGGGUGAGUAAUGCCUACGAAUCUGCCUGGUCGUGGGGGAUAACGUCCGGAAACGGGCGCUAAUACCGCAUACUAUCAGAUGAGCCUAGGUCGGAUUAGCUAGUGGGUGGGGUAAAGGCCUACCAAGGCGACGAUCCGUAACUGGUCUGAGAGGCUGAUCAGUCACACUGGAAUUAGGACACGGUCCAGACUCCUACGGGAGGAAGCAGUGGGGAAUAUUGGACAAUGGGCGAAAGCCUGAUCCAUCCAGGCCGCGUGUGUGAAGAAGGUCUUCGGAUUGUAAAGCACUGUAAGUUGGGAGGCGUUACCUACAGAAUAAGCAACGGCUAACUUCGUGCCAGCAGCCGCGGUAAUUC